CCUGAGGGAUUUGCAUGGAAGGGACUUGGUUGCCGCUAUAACACCAAUAACACUAACGCAAGGAUUAUCUCAGUAAACUUGAGCGCCAGCAAGCUAAGAGGACAAAUAGCUGCUUCGUUUUCACAACUUACAGAGUUCGAGUCCUUGGAUUUAUCAAGCAAUGGCUUGUCAGGAUCUAUACCGGAAUUUCUUGCUAAAUUACCAAAGUUGAGAGUCCUUAACUUGAGUGGCAACAUGCUUACAGGUUCAGUUCC